UCUGGUCUUCACCAGAGGCGCUGCUGUGAUUUUCCUCCCCCUUCUCCCCAGAGCCUCCCAACCCAUCCUGAAACUUUUCCUCCCCUCCCUCCCCAGAGGUUGCAAAGACAGAUACACAGACACAGAAUAACUCCUGGUUGCUCCCUGUCCUGCAGUACGACAAGGAGAUCCGCGUGCUCGCCAGGGCCACGGCCGCGCGCGCGGUGCGCAGCCGGCGCCGCGCCGACCUGCCGCUGGCAGCUGGGGAACAUCUGGAGCUCAUCGACGCCCUGCAGGGCCACGCCGUCAUCUGCCGCAACGCCCAGGGCAGAUAUGGGUACGUUCUGGUGGAGCACUUGAACUUCAGUCCUAACUGCCCUGAGAGCUGCUCUCCCCUGGAGCAUCCCUGAAGGUCUCUUGUGCUUCCUGCAUCCGUGACAGCCCAUGUUGGUCAGCUGUGGGGUUGAUGAUGGGAAUGUAAAUAAAGCUGGAGUUUUUUAC
rnacentral:lncRNA from 1 species